rnacentral:rRNA from 1 species
GACGAAGGAUGCAAGCGUUAUCCGGAUUCAUUGGGUUUAAAGGGAGCGUAGGUGGUCUUAUAAGUCAGUGGUGAAAUCUCUGGGCUUAACCCAGAAAUUGCCAUUGAUACUGUAGGACUUGAGUAUAGUUGCCGUUGGCGGAAUAUGACAUGUAAUGGUGAAAUACAUAGAGAUGUCAUAGAACACCGAUUGCGAAGGCAGCUAACGAAACUAUAACUGACACUGAGGCUCGAAAGUGCGGGGAUCAAACAGG